CUUACCGGGUCCGGACACACUGAGGAUUGACAGAUAUAUACCCCGUGAUUUUAUCGCGGGGUUGAAAGAUGCUAGUUCUUUCAUGAUUAUGUGAUAGGUGGUGCAUGGCCGUUCUUAGUUCGUGGAGUGAUCUGUCUGCUUAAUUGCGUAUCAAUAAUAGAGACCUAGUAUACGCGUAGACUCAUGCGGUAGUGACCCCCCUUCACAGGGCGCGUGUCGCACGUAUGUUAUACGCACAGGUCUCCGAUAGCAACGAACGUGACCGUACUCUAUUGUUGCAGCGACAAUACCUUUCAACGGGUAUUACCGCUGCUUAGCAAGAUUCGUCUUGCAUUAAACUAUAGAGACCGCUGUUUCUUCUUUAAACCAGAGGAAGGAUACGGCAAUAACAGGUCUGUGA
rnacentral:rRNA from 1 species